AGCCCUUGACAUGGCAGGACGGUUUCCAGAGAUGGAUUCCUUCACUUCGGUGACUUGCACACAGGUGCUGCAUGGCUGUCGUCAGCUCGUGUCGUGAGAUGUUGGGUUAAGUCCCGCAACGAGCGCAACCCUCGCCUUUAGUUGCCAUCAUUUAGUUGGGCACUCUAGAGGGACUGCCGGUGAUAAGCCGGAGGAAGGUGGGGAUGACGUCAAGUCUUCAUGGCCCUUACGGGCG
rnacentral:rRNA from 1 species